CCAAAAUAUACAAGGAGAGAUACAAUUGGCAUCUCCCAUGACAUGAACGAAAACAACUUUCGAGCUUUGCCUAUACGUUCCAGUUAAGACUUUCCACUUUGGUGGAUCUAUCUAUAACCCAAU